UGGGGAAUUUUGGACAAUGGGCGCAAGCCUGAUCCAGCCAUUCCGCGUGAGUGAAGAAGGCCUUCGGGUUGUAAAGCUCUUUCGGCAGGGAAGAAACGGUCUGGGCUAAUACCCUGGGCUAAUGACGGUACCUGAAGAAGAAGCACCGGCUAACUACGUGCCAGCAGCCGCGGUAAUACGUAGGGUGCGAGCGUUAAUCGGAAUUACUGGGCGUAAAGCGUGCGCAGGCGGUUUUGUAAGACAGAUGUGAAAUCCCCGGGCUUAACCUGGGAACUGCGUUUGUGACUGCAAGACUCGAGUACGGCAGAGGGGGGUGGAAUUCCACGUGUAGCAGUGAAAUGCGUAGAGAUGUGGAGGAACACCGAUGGCGAAGGCAGCCCCCUGGGUCGAUACUGACGCUCAUGCACGAAAGCGUGGGGAGCAAACAGGAUUAGAUACCCCCGUAGUCC
rnacentral:rRNA from 1 species